CAACUAACGAUAAUCUUAUUGACUAUUUUAUCUAGAUUUAAUUUAAAAUUGUACUACUUUAAUUUUCUUUGUUUUUGGUUUAAUGUUUUUUAGUUUUUGACUUAUUCUUUUUUUUAAAUUUUGAUAAACAUAUUUGGCUGUAAAAUGUUAAUUCAAGAACCUGUUCAAGCUGCAAUUUGGCAUUGUAUGAACCAUUAUGCUUAUUCAGAUGCAAUAUUUCUAGCAGAGCGACUUUGUGCUGAAUUUGAUUCAGAUGAAAGUACUUAUUUACUUGCUACUUGUUAUUAUCGCGCUGGCAAACCAUCACAAGCUUAUACCAUUCUAAGUGGAAAGAAAAUAGUGUCUGAAAAAUGUAAAUUCUUAUUAGCACGUUGUUGUAUUGAUCUUCAUAAGUUGUCUGAAGCGGAAACUAUUUUAACAGGAAAUGUUGGUGACUUAAUAUCUUCAUCAUCAUGUGCUUCAUUUAUUGAAUCUAUAGUUUCAAGUUAUGGUGAUAGUGCUCCUUUUGCUUUACAACUUAUCAGUCAUGUGUGGUGGCGAUCAGAAAGAGCACAUUUAGCUGCUGAAGCUUGUCGAAAAGCUCUUUAUUUAAAUCCUUUUUUAUGGCAAUCAUUUCAAGACUUAUGUGAUCGAGGAGUUAAACCUGAUCCUGAACCAUUUAAAAUUUUUAAGGUUGACAAUUUAGACAAUUUUAGCAAAUGUUUAGGAUCAAAUUCACAUGUCAUUUCCACACCAUUAUCAACUUAUAAUGUGUCAUACGAAUCAAUAAAUACUUUUAACAGUAGUACACCAGCUCAAAAAAUGAUAAAUAUGUCAGUACCAAGUAGUAAUAGUUCAAUCUCUAGUGGGAUACAGCCAUUUACACCUGAUAUUAACAAUGCAAAAGCUAUAUUUGUUCGACCUAUUGGAAGAAAAGUGAAAGUGAUAAAUGAAAAUGCAUUUAGUCCUUUGACACCAAGUUUUGGAGUAUUCCCACUAGAAAGUCCAGAUAGCAACAUGUCAUCUCAAUCUAUGGUAUUAGUUCCUUCAGGUACAUUAAAUGAAACCAACGAUCAGAAAUUUAUUUCCAAAAGAAGCUCUAAACCUGUGUUCAGUCAAUCGGGAAAUACAGGAAAUAUCAAUAAUUUAGGUACACAGCAAGUAUCUACUCCUCCAAGUCCUAUGUCACAUGUAGUAAGACGAAGUAGUCGAAUAAUUACCAAUAGUUGUUCAGUUAAGGAAAAUAAUAAAAGUCCAAGUAAAAAAUUUACCAGCCCAAAAUCGGUAUCUCGAAAAAUAAAAACAGGAAUUGUUUCUAAAAAAACUGUUUUUACUGAUAUAACUGAGCGUAAUCCUAAAGAUCGUGGAGGAAUUGAUGUGGAAACUACUACUUUGGCACAACAAGCACUUAACUUACAAAAGAAAACUGCUGAAGGCCUUAUGUCUCUAUUAAGAGAUAUUGGAGUUGCUUAUUUACAACUAUCAAAAUUCAAUUGUAAAAAAGCAAUUCAAUUAUUUCAAAAUCUACCACCACAGCAACAUAAAACAGGAUUUGUAUUAUCAAUGAUUGGCAAAGCAUACUGUGAACAGUCUGAUUAUUUACAAUCAAUUAAAUAUUUUAGUGUGGUUCGAGAAUUAGAGCCAUACAGGGAUACAUUAAUGGAACUUUAUAGUACAGCUUUAUGGCAUCAGCAAAAAGAAGUAGCGUUGUCUUCUCUAGCUCAAGAUAUGACUACUUUAGACAGAAAUUCUUCAUCUACUUGGUGCGUUGUAGGAAAUUGCUUUUCUCUUCAAAAAGAACAUCAAACAGCAAUAAAAUAUUUUCAACGAGCAAUACAAGUUAAUCCAGAUUUCCCUUAUGCAUAUGCAUUAUUAGGAAAUGAGUAUUUAGUGACUGAAGAAUUAGAAAAAGCUAUAACAUGCUUUCAAAAAGCUGUGAAAUUAGAUCCAAGGCAUUAUAAAUCAUGGUAUGGAAUCGGUGCUAUUUACCAAAAACAAGAAAGAUUUGAAUUAGCUGAAAUGCAUUAUAAAAGAGCUCUUAGAAUAAAUCAUAGUAGUGCAUUGAUCAUGUGUCAUAUUGCUGUUGUACAAAAUAGUAUGGAUAAACCAGACCAAGCAUUGCAUACAUUACACAUAGCACUGUCAUUAGAACCCAAACAUCCUAUGUGUAAAUAUCAACGAGCACAAAUUUAUUCAAAACUCGGUAAACUACAAGAAGCACUUUAUGAACUCGAAGAACUGAAAGAAAUUGUGCCUCAAGAAUCUCUAGUCUACUUUUUAACCGGCAAAGUGCACAAAAAAUUAGGAAAUAUUCAUUUGGCACUAAUGAAUUUCAAUCGUGCAACUGAUUUAGACCCAAAAGGUGCUAGUAAUCAAAUAAAAGAAGCUAUAGAGCCAACAAAUAACCAAUCACCUUUAGAUGAUUCAGUUUUAUUGUAAAAAAAUGUUUGACAAAAUCUAUCAUAUAUCUGAGCAUGCUAUGGCGAAUCAUACAUACCAAUUACAGUUUUGUUGUGUAAAUUAACUAUUUCUUUUAAUUUACUUUAAGAAAAUCCAUCAUCCAAAAUCAAAUACUUAGUUUCUUGGUUAUUAAAUGAGAAAAUGCGAAAUUAGUCUAGAAUGCGCGAUCUUGCGGUGGAAGUACGCGUGUAAAUGAUCAUGUAUUUCGCCCCAUCUAUUAUCCAUUGACUGCAAUACCACAUACACAUGCAUAUGUUUACAAGAUUACGCAUUCCUACACAAUAUUAGUGAUGGAUGAUUUUCAAAAGUUUAUCUUUAUAUGUCGAGAUGAAAAUAUCGCUCGAUUUAAAAAUCGGCCUAAAUUAAUCGAUUUUUUUUUAUACAAAUAUAUUAAUACUCAGAUAGUUAAUGGAAUAAUCAACUAG